rnacentral:rRNA from 1 species
UCUAGAAAUUUGGGCAAUGGGCGAAAGCCUGACCCAGCGACACCGCGUGGGGGAUGAAGCUCCUCGGAGUGUAAACCCCUGUUAGGUGGGACGAAUCCCCGAUUGCAAAUAGUGAUCGGGGUUGACGGUACCACCAGAGGAAGCUCCGGCUAACUCCGUGCCAGCAGCCGCGGUAAUACGGGGGGAGCGAGCGUUGUUCGGAUUUAUUGGGCGUAAAGGGCGUACAGGCGGUAGUGUAAGUCAGAUGUGAAAUGCUCCGGCUCAACCGGGGAUCUGCAUUUGAUACUGCAUUACUUGAGUACAGGAGAGGAGAGCGGAAUUCUAGGUGUAGCGGUGGAAUGUGUAGAUAUCUGGAAGAACACCAGUGGCGAAGGCGGCUCUCUGGCCUGAUACUGACGCUGACGCGCGAAAGCUAGGGGAGCAAACAGG